rnacentral:rRNA from 1 species
UACGUAGGGGGCUAGCGUUGUCCGGAAUCAUUGGGCGUAAAGAGCGUGUAGGCGGCCCGGUAAGUCCGCUGUGAAAGUCGGGGGCUCAACCCUCGAAUGCCGGUGGAUACUGUCGGGCUAGAGUGCGGAAGAGGCGAGUGGAAUUCCUGGUGUAGCAGUGAAAUGCGUAGAUAUCUGGAGGAACACCGGUGGCGAAGGCGGCAUCCUGGACCAACACUGACGCUGAGGAGCGAAAGCCAGGGGAGCAAACGGG